rnacentral:rRNA from 1 species
GAAUAUUGGACAAUGGGGGGAACCCUGAUCCAGCCAUGCCGCGGGUGUGAAGAAGGCCUUUUGGUUGUAAAGCACUUUAAGAGAGGAGGAGGCUACUCUAGUUAAUACCUAGAGAUAGUGGACGUUAAUCGCCAGAUAAGCACCGGCUAACUCUGUGCCAGCAGCACUGGUAAUACAGAGGGUGCAAGCGUUAAUCGGAUUUACUGGUCGUAAAGCGCGCGUAGGUGGCCAAUUAAGUCAAAUGUGAAAUCCCCGAGCUUAACUUGGGAAUUGCAUUCGAUACUGGUUGGCUAGAGUAUGGGAGAGGAUGGUAGAAUUCCAGGUGUAGCGGUGAAAUGCGUAGAGAUCUGGAGGAAUACCGAUGGCGAAGGCAGCCAUCUGGCCUAAUACUGACACUGAGGUGCGAAAGCAUGGGGAGCAAACA